rnacentral:rRNA from 1 species
UGGGGAAUCUUGGACAAUGGGGGCAACCCUGAUCCAGCCAUGCCGCGUGAGUGAUGAAGGCCUUAGGGUCGUAAAGCUCUUUCGCCUGUGAAGAUAAUGACGGUAGCAGGUAAAGAAACCCCGGCUAACUCCGUGCCAGCAGCCGCGGUAAUACGGAGGGGGUUAGCGUUGUUCGGAAUUACUGGGCGUAAAGCGCACGUAGGCGGACCAGAAAGUUGGGGGUGAAAUCCCGGGGGCUCAACCCCGGAACUGCCUCCAAAACUAUUGGUCUAGAGUUCGAGAGAGGUGAGUGGAAUUCCAAGUGUAGAGGUGAAAUUCGUAGAUAUUUGGAGGAACACCAGUGGCGAAGGCGGCUCACUGGCUCGAUACUGACGCUGAGGUGCGAAAGUGUGGGGAGCAAACAGGAUUAGAUACCCUGGUAGUCCACGCCGUAAAACGAUGUCUGCUAGACGUCGGGGGGCGCAGCCCUUCGGUGUCGCAGCUAACGCAUUAAGCAGACCGCCUGGGGGAGUACGGCCGCAAGGUUAAAACU